AGUGAACGCUGGCGGUAGGCCUAACACAUGCAAGUCGAACGGCAGCACAGGAGAGCUUGCUCUCUGGGUGGCGAGUGGCGGACGGGUGAGGAAUACAUCGGAAUCUACCUUUUCGUGGGGGAUAACGUAGGGAAACUUACGCUAAUACCGCAUACGACCUACGGGUGAAAGUGGGGGACCGCAAGGCCUCACGCGAUUAGAUGAGCCGAUGUGCGAUUAGCUAGUUGGCGGGGUAAUGGCCCACCAAGGCGACGAUCGGUAGCUGGUCUGAGAGGAUGAUGAGCCACACUGGAACUGAGACACGGUCCAGACUCCUACGGGAGGCAGCAGUGGGGAAUACUGGACAAUGGGCGCAAGCCUGAUCCAGCCAUACCGCGUGGGUGAAGAAGGCCUUCGGGUUGUAAAGCCCUUUUGUUGGGAAAGAAAUCCUGUCGAUUAAUACUCGGUGGGGAUGACGGUACCCAAAGAAUAAGCACCGGCUAACUUCGUGCCAGCAGCCGCCGUAACAC
rnacentral:rRNA from 1 species